rnacentral:rRNA from 1 species
CUCGUAGGCGGUUCGUCGCGUCCGGUGUGAAAGUCCAUAGCUUAACGGUGGAUCCGCGCCGGGUACGGGCGGGCUUGAGUGCGGUAGGGGAGACUGGAAUUCCCGGUGUAACGGUGGAAUGUGUAGAUAUCGGGAAGAACACCAAUGGCGAAGGCAGGUCUCUGGGCCGUUACUGACGCUGAGGAGCGAAAGCGUGGGGAGCGAACA